rnacentral:misc_RNA from 1 species
UGGCUUGGUGAACGAGCUGGGCUUUGGUCAUUGCCGGCUCGCGACGUGCUGUUAUUCUGGGCUCCACUCGGCUAUAUUUAGACGAGACCACCUUGAGGGAGCUCGAGAGAGCUCGAGUGCUCUCCGCGGACUGCAACCGCAGAGAGGCUUUUCUCUAUUGGCCGAUCGUGUGCGUUAGUUGUGCAACAAGCGUUCGCGAUCCUUUGGAAACGCGAUCGAGGAAUUCCUGCCCACGCUCUUUUUCCACGUCGCUCCUUUUUCAUCGUACUUGCUCUCUAGCCGACCUCGCCGUGCAUUUAGAUUCUGAGAUUUCAUUAGCACCGUA